CCAUUGCAUGUUUGUCUUCUGAAGAAGCUGUAAAUGUGAGAGAUCCUGAUCAGCAUAGACCAUGAAAACUUUAGUACCUUUCUUGCAGCCUUUAUAAAGAAGACUUAGGGUGCAUCAACACUGGCCUUUCAGAAAUGAAGACAGGGAACAUCUGGCAUUUCAAAGAGAGGAGGAUUUGUCCCCCCAAAGAACAAGGAGGGGAGGGAUGGUGGGAUGGCAAAUCUACGGAAAGAGUGCUGAGAACCACAGAGUAACACUGAGACAUUUAACAGUACGAUGAAGCCCAGUCAGGCCAUGACCAAGAUACCAGCUGCUGCAGAAGUGAAAAAUGAACGGAUGCUGGAGCAGUUAGUGAAAAACACCCUUGAGAUCAACGAAGGCAUUAAGGAGAUCCUAUGGAUGCAGAGGAAAUUACUAAAAACUCAAUUAACAACAGGAAGAAAUAUCUAUAAAACGGAGGGCAAGGUUACAACCCCAAUGCGUUCCUGCUAUGAUUCUGGCCAAAAAGAAGCCAGAAGAGGAGAAAGGGGAAAGGCAGGAAAGAAAAAGGAGAGGGGAGGAGGAAAGAAAUACAGGAAUAUGAGAGUUAGUGAAAAGG